rnacentral:rRNA from 1 species
CCUACGGGGGGCAGCAGUGAGGAAUAUUGGUCAAUGGCCGGAAGGCUGAACCAGCCAUGCCGCGUGAAGGUCAGUGCCCUAUGGGCGUUAAACUUCUUUUGUGCGGGAGCAAUAAUGGUCACGUGUGGCCAGACGAGAGUACCGUACGAAUAAGCAUCGACUAACUCCGUGCCAGCAGCCGCGGUAAUACGGGGGAUGCAAGCGUUAUCCGGAUUUAUUGGGUUUAAAGGGUGCGUAGGCUGUGAGGUAAGUCAGCGGUGAAAUGCCCCCGCUCAACGGGGUGAAGUGCCAUUGAUACUGCCUGGCUGGAAUGCGGAUGCGGUGGGAGGAAUGUGUGGUGUAGCGGUGAAAUGCAUAGAUAUCACACAGAACACCGAUUGCGAAGGCAUCUCACGAAUCCGCGAUUGACGCUGAUGCACGAAAGCGUGGGUAUCAAACAGGAUUAGAUACCCCUGUAGUC